rnacentral:rRNA from 1 species
UACGUAGGGUGCGAGCGUUGUCCGGAAUUAUUGGGCGUAAAGGGCUCGUAGGCGGUUUGUCGCGUCGGGAGUGAAAAUCCAGGGCUCAACCCUGGGCCUGCAUUCGAUACGGGCAGACUAGAGUAUGGCAGGGGAGACUGGAAUUCCUGGUGUAGCGGUGAAAUGCGCAGAUAUCAGGAGGAACACCGGUGGCGAAGGCGGGUCUCUGGGCCAAAACUGACGCUGAGGAGCGAAAGCGUGGGGAGCGAACAGG